rnacentral:rRNA from 1 species
GUGGGGAAUAUUGGACAAUGGGCGCAAGCCUGAUCCAGCCAUGCCGCGUGAGUGAUGAAGGCCUUAGGGUUGUAAAGCUCUUUCAGUAGGGAAGAUAAUGACGGUACCUACAGAAGAAGCCCCGGCUAACUUCGUGCCAGCAGCCGCGGUAAUACGAAGGGGGCUAGCGUUGUUCGGAUUUCCUGGGCGUAAAGCGCCAGUAGGCGGUUUGUUAAGUCAGGGGUGAAAUCCCACAGCUCAACUGUGGAACUGGCCUUGAUACUGGCAAGCUAGAGUCCGGAAGGGGUGGAUGGAACUCCUAGUGUAGAGGUGGAAUUCGUAGAUAUUAGGAAGAACACCAGGGGCGAAGGCGGCUCACUGGUCCGGUACUGACGCUGAGGUGCGAAAGCGUGGGGAGCAAACAGGAUUAGAUACCCCUGUAGUCC